rfam:Jejuia pallidilutea DNA, contig: NODE_123_1/1, strain: JCM 19538.
AGCUACUCCUGAUUGCAACGGCAUCCUUUUGUUUAUUUGCAUUAAUGAGACCAAAUAAUGAGGUUGGAUGAUAUAUUGGUAUAAACGCCUACCUGUGCAAUAAUGCCAAAAACAAAAGAUAUAGUGGAAAGCAGGAAGAAAC